CACACUCACAAGCCCUAACCAGAACACCACCACAUUCUUUUGAUUUCCCCUCCCUUUAGCCAUGCCCAAAUCACGAGACCACCGUGUAACCGUUGUCAACCUCACCACCUCCUUAGCUAUGCACCACUCAACAUUGUGAACCUUGAUGCUAUGUUGGGUAGACCCAGAAAACCCCAUAUACAUGAAAUCCUUAAUGUACAUACCAAAAUCAAGAUCCACCUUCAAAUAUGGAUCUUUUGGUCGAAUGUUUGAGUACGAGACCCAAACGCGAAACCCUUUGGAGGCCGAGGAAGGCGCCGAGGUCGCCGACGGCAAAGGAGUUCAACGACAUGGCGAAGGCAAGGAUGCUGCAAAAGUGAGAAGGGUUGAGGUUGGUGACGGAGGGUAUACCCAAUGGGGUGAAAGAUUUCCUCAUAUUGGUUCAGUUGCUAGCGAUUUGAUUUUUUUCAUUUUAGUAUUCUUAAGUAUUUUGUUAUUAAUAUAAGUGAAUUUUGAGCUACAGUAUAAUCAUGAUAAGUUCCAAUCGACAUUAUGUUUAUCUUUUUUAUCUUUAGCUAAAGCCAUAGAUGAAUAUGCUAGCCUUAAGUCCAAGGUUGGAAGUAAUUAUGGAGAAGCUGUUGAAUAAGAGAUUAGAUAAACUAGAGGAGGCCAUUACAAGGAGUGGCAAUGUUCAACAAACUCUAUCAUAUUGCAUUUAUGUAUCUCAUUCCUUUGUGAACGUUAGAGAGUACAAACAGAAGUCCGCCAGAACUUCCCUCAAUAGCAAGGUCGUCAACCAAUACUCCAUGCUCCUCACUCCCCUCACCGCCAAAGCUGUUCUUUUCAUCAUGGAUGCCGCCAAGCUCGACAUGGUUGAUCUCUGUGAUGUCAAGAUCGUGAAGAAGCGCGGUGGCAUCGUUGAUGACACCGAGCUCGUGAAAGGUCUCGUCUUUGACAAGAAGGUCAGCCACGCCGCUAGGGGACCCACCCGCAUGGAGAAUGCCAAGAUCCCCGUCAUCCAGUUCCAGAUUUUUCCGUCCAAAAGCGCAUCGAACAAAGUUGAAACUUGGUCGAAAAUGGCCUCAGCCAAACACAUCCCAUGGGGUCAUUUUGUAUUUUAUGAUUUCUUAUGGGCAUUUCAUGGGCCACAAAGGACACGAUUCAACAAGCCAAUUACUUUGGCUCCCUUACCCGAGUCUCAGCUAUUCAAGUUGGGUCCUUCCAGCGAGAGGAAAUCUAUGCCUCAUUCAAGAACCUUCUUCCAAUGACUUGAAAUCAGCCCUAGGAAAGAAGCGAAAGGAUGGGGGAAGCGCCCCGCCUCAACCUCUAAGCUAAUCCUAGUGGUCCUAUCUUACCAUAGCAUAGAUGGACUGUUAGAUAUGACGCGCAUUUGUGAUGGUAUCAGUUGCAAGAAGGAAGGGCAAACUAGGAAAGGACGACAAGUUAGAAAAUUACCAAACUAAACUUGAAGAAAUGAAGAAUAUGAGUAGGCAGAAAUAUGUGGCCCACUUAAGAAGAAAGAGUAGUGGGUUUUCAAGGGGUGCCUCAAUGUACAGAGGAGUGGCAAGACACCACCAACAUGGCAGGUGGCAAGCAAGGAUAGCCAGAGUUGCAGGAAAUAAGGAGCUUUAUCUUGGGACAUUCAGAUUAUUUUAAAGAAAGUGAUAAUCUAGUUUCUCUUCAUGAUCAAAUUCAUGAUUGUGAUAGUAUCCUAUCACAACUGGAAACCCUUCUAAGUGGAUUUUAGGUAUGUUUUUGGCCUGGCAAGUCUUAUCUUGAAACAUGAAUUUGGCAGAUAUUGUUCUUAAUAAUUAUUUAAUUUUUCAACA